AGCGAACGCUGGCGGCGUGCUUAACACAUGCAAGUCGAGCGAAGGUGUUUCAAGGGUAACCUUGAGAUACACUUAGCGGCGGACGGGUGAGUAAUACGUGGAUAACUUACCUCUAGGGCCUGGGAUAACCCCGGGAAACGUGGGCUAAUACCUGAUAAGACCACAUUGUCUACGGAACAAAGGGGUAAAAGGUGGCUGUGCAAACAGCUAUC
rnacentral:rRNA from 1 species